rnacentral:lncRNA from 1 species
AAAAAACCCACGGGACCAACACGCGAAAAAAUAAUUCACUAAGAGAAAAGAUUACGAGGUGAUUACCGACUCCACGGACUCGACCUAUCUUAACCUCCUAUGAAUCUCGCGCAAUCCUCCGGGUUGUCCAUGCCCUCACGUUCGAAUCCACGAACACGACGUUCCGAAUCCACGAAACGCCUCCACUCCGAAUCCACGAAGCUCACGAUCCGAAUCCACGAACCGUCGUCAAUCACGCCGAAUCCACGACGCCGUCAUAAAGAACAUCAU